rnacentral:lncRNA from 1 species
CCAAUUCGUCCAGUGAUGCCAACCUCUUCUGGGAAAUAGCGACGGACUCAUUGGGAAGCGUGGUUAGACCUUCUCCUUGGUCCUGAAGUCUUGUAGUAAUUGCUAUUUCUAUUUUAGGCAUGUAUUUUUGUAAACAUUGAUCAUAUUCAAAUGCAUAAAUCAAUUCAAAUUAAAUCAAUGGACGUUUAUGCAAACAAAAC